rnacentral:rRNA from 1 species
UGCCAGCCGCCGCGGUAAUACGGAGGGGGCUAGCGUUGUUCGGAAUUAUUGGGCGUAAAGGGCGCGUAGGCGGCCGCGCAAGUCGGAUGUGAAAUCCCUCGGCUCAACCGAGGAAUUGCUUUCGAUACUGCAUGGCUUGAGUCCCGGAGAGGGUAGUGGAAUUCCCAGUGUAGCGGUGAAAUGCGUAGAUAUUGGGAAGAACACCAGUGGCGAAGGCGGCUAACUGGCUCGGUACUGACGCUGAGAUGCGAAAGCGUGGGGGGCAAACAGGAUUAGAUA